AAGAGUAGAGGUUGCGUUGCUUAUCAGUAAGCUGUCAGAUGCAUCAGGUGCAUGGGAAGACAGAUGAAAGGAAGAGACGCCGAAGAAUGAUAUGGCCUGAACAUAUUCAUUCUGGGCAUAUGGUUAAGAGCCAUGUGACUGUCAUCUGUAUGGAUGGGGAGCUACUUAA
rnacentral:ncRNA from 1 species